UACAGAGGGUGCAAGCGUUAAUCGGAAUUACUGGGCGUAAAGCGAGCGUAGUCGGUUAUUUAAGUCGGAUGUGAAAUCCCCGGGCUUAACCUGGGAACUGCAUUUGUGACUGGCGAGCUAGAGUAUGGCAGAGGGGGGUAGAAUUCCACGUGUAGCAGUGAAAUGCGUAGAGAUGUGGAGGAAUACCGAUGGCGAAGGCAGCCCCCUGGGCCAAUACUGACGCUCAUGCCA
rnacentral:rRNA from 1 species